GCUAGGUUGAACUCAAACAGGGAGUGUUGGGCCAAGCAGCUCUUCUGUGCAAUUAAGAAAGAAAUUACUCAGCAGAUAGAAAGUAUAACAUAGGAGAGGCUAACGCUUCUCUAACUGGGUUUUCAGGGAAUAGCAUUAGGGAUGUGAAGUGAGGUACAAAGCGUCUUUUCCCUGAGGCACAUUUUGUUUAAUGAUGCAACAGACACAUCUCUCUUUGCUAAGUGAUGCUUGCAGGAACCCACAAGGCCAGCCCCCGAAUCACAGGCCUGCUCAGAGUAAGACACUGUACGCAGCUCUGCUGAAGUUUUCCUGUGCUGAAGCAAGCAAUGUUCCUCCAGUACCUCCCAUGUGCCAGGAACACAGCAGGGAGCAAAACCAAGUCCAGUACCCACCCACGGAGCCAACGCUUCCGAGGAAGAAACAGAUUGUGAGCCAGUCCGUCAGCCUGCACUGCAUCAGGUGGUGUUGAGGACAG